UUCAACAAUCUAAUCAUUUUA
rnacentral:piRNA from 1 species